UUUUCGUUUCCAAAUUUAAUUCUUGUCCUGAAGUCCCUACUCAUUUUCGCGCACCCCUCUCUUCUCCAUCUUGUCACAUUUUUCUUUUCUCAUCCUCGAGACUUCUUCUUCAACAGGACCAUACAUCUUCAUUCUCUCUGCUUCUUGUUGAUUUCGCAUUCGUACAUCACAUAACCACAUCUUCGUUCUUGUCUUGCGAUUUUUCUCCAACUCUAAGCAUCAUCCUCUUCUCCAUAAUUUGCUUUCUAUUUUCACCUUUUUCUUCGAUUUCAUCGAUUAAAUCAUCGUUUAUCACCUUUUCCACCGAUUAAAACACCUUUUCUCUGUCCGUUCGUCAUUUCUACCGUUCAAUCUCGCCUUUGAACCGAUUAAUCGGUUCACCUAGGGUUUCCUCGAGUAGAUUCCCAUUACUGCAGUUUGUGUAAUAAAAGAAUAGGGUUUACGUAUAACUUGAUUGCUCCCGGUGACUCCGUCAUGGCAGUUACUAUUAGGAAGGUUGUUAGAGAGGUCGCUCAUGACGGUUGAGAUGCAGAGCGCGUUAAGCUCAAACUGGAAAUUAAAGUCGAAGAGGUAUUUGUGCUAUCAGUAGGAUUUUUGUUCGGUUUUUCAAGUUGUGUUAUCUUGAUUUUGUUUUAUACCAAGUUGCUGAUUAUGACAAAGAAGGUUCUAUUCUGCGUGUUCGUGGAAAGAACAUUUUAGAGAAUGAACAUGUCAAGGAGCUUUCCAUACUCUAGAACUUGAACUGCAGCGACCGUUUGUGGUCAGAAAGGAGCUAUAUGUCGUGCUGCUGUGGUCAAGGGAUUCCAAUUAAACCAAUUUGAGAGGCUUGGUGGUGGUGCUAACACUCUGAGUAAAAGAUACUCUAAAGGUGAUCUUGGAGCAGAAAUUGUAGGCACAUUUAUUCUGGUUUAGUCAGUUUUCUCAACCACAUGCAAAACGAAAUGCUAAAGACUUGCAUGUUCUUAUUUUAGCACCUUUGCCUAUUGGUUUUGCUGUCUUUCUGGUGCACUUGGCUACAAUUCCUAUGACAGGAACUUAUCCAUGCUAGAAGUUUAGGCGUAACUCUCAUAUACAACAAGGACCAAGCUUGGUAUAAUCACAGCUAGCCUUCUGCAACAGCCACAUCCUCCUAGCACUUUUUCACUUUGUUUUCUACUGCACCCUCCAAGUAUGUUUGCUCUCUUAUAGUCACCCUACCUUCUAGAAUUGUGACUGUUCUGUCUCCUUUGUUUUAAUAGCUUAUUAUCGUUACAAGCUCCCUCAUGAAGGACAUGAUUAAUAAGACUGGUAUGUACAGGGUUUACCAAAAUUAUCAAAGCUACAUGUUACAAAGAUCUUUAAUGAUUUACCUCGAAUGGAAGUUCCGAACAUUGAAGACAUUAAUACCAAGUAGACUUCUUUUAUUUUAAGUGUUAGUAAAUUGUAGAAACUUGACUACAAUGUAGUAUAGGUUAAUGUUAUAUUUGGAUUUAAUAUAUGGUUUGAUUUAGAAAUUAUGUAUUAAAUAUUAUUACAUAUUUGAAUGUUUGAAAUGAAUUUCAUUAUGAUAGUUUAAUUGAAUAUGUUCAUUUCAUGUUA